AUGACGUAAAAAAACGUCGGUAUUUUCUUUAUUUAAUGACGCUUUUGCUAAAAACGUCGGCGUUGACAAUGCUCAAAUUUUACGAUGCUUUUAAGCGUCGUUAAAACAUGACGCUUUUUAAAAGCAUCGGCAGGUCAGUGCAAUCUGCCGACGCUUCCCAAAAGCAUCGACAAAAAAUAGUCGCUAUAUACCUUUCUUCCUGUAGCGGGGGGG
rnacentral:lncRNA from 1 species